ACUGAACGCUGGCGGCAGGCUUAACACAUGCAAGUCGAGCGGAGAUGAGGUGCUUGCACCUUAUCUUAGCGGCGGACGGGUGAGUAAUGCUUAGGAAUCUGCCUAUUAGUGGGGGACAACAUUCCGAAAGGAAUGCUAAUACCGCAUACGUCCUACGGGAGAAAGCAGGGGAUCUUCGGACCUUGCGCUAAUAGAUGAGCCUAAGUCGGAUUAGCUAGUUAGUGGGGUAAAGGCCUACCAAGGCGACGAUCUGUAGCGGGUCUGAGAGGAUGAUCCGCCACACUGGGACUGAGACACGGCCCAGACUCCUACGGGAGGCAGCAGUGGGGAAUAUUGGACAAUGGGGGAAACCCUGAUCCAGCCAUGCCGCGUGUGUGAAGAAGGCCUUAUGGUUGUAAAGCACUUUAAGCGAGGAGGAGGCUACUGAGACUAAUACUCUUGGAUAGUGGACGUUACUCGCAGAAUAAGCACCGGCUAACUCUGUGCCAGCAGCCGCCGUAAGAC
rnacentral:rRNA from 1 species